rnacentral:misc_RNA from 1 species
GAUGAAGAACGCAGCAAAAUGCGAUACUUGGUGUGAAUUGCAGAAUCCCGUGAACCAUCGAGUUUUUGAACGCAAGUUGCGCCCGAAGCCUUUUGGCCGAGGGCACGUCUGCCUGGGCGUCACGCAUCGCGUCGCCCCCCACAAUUCUCCGUAAAAGGAACAUGUGUUUUGGGGGCGGAUAUUGGUCUCCCGUGCUCAUGGCGUGGUUGGCCGAAAUAGGAGUCCUUUCGAUGGACGCACGAACUAGUGGUGGUCGUAAAAACCCUCGUCUUUUGUUUCGUGCUGUUGCUCGCAAGGUAAACUCUUUAAAAACCCCAAUGUGUCGUCUCUUGACGACGCUUCGACCGCGACCCCAGGUCAGGCGGGACUACCCGCUGAGUUUAAGCAUAUCAAUAAGCGGAGGA